UCUUCACAGCUUUUAGCGGCGAUCCGCUGCCUUCGCGAACUUCAUCGACAUUUUCAAAAUCCCAAAAUCAUCGAACGAACAAAUUAAAUUUAUGAAAAAUAAAAAAUCUGAGCUUUGCUUUUAUUUUUUUUUCUUUUUUUUUUUUUUCACGAGAAAGCGUUUGACACCAACACCAGCACCCACAAAAACCACAAGCUUGGUUUCGUCGUCAUCGUUUUAGCAUUCAAUGCCGUUCUUUAUCUUUUCCUUUCCUUUUUCCUCAAUCUCUCUGCGUCUCUCACGUGACCGGCAUUAAAGCUCGCUCUCGAUAAUGCCUACUCUGAAUUUGGUCCCUUUCUUCAUCGCCUUCUCUGCUUCUGGCUCUGCGCGCCGCACAAUGAGCUUCUCCUGCUGCUGCAUUUGCAAUUUCGUUUGAUCCAAAAGCGAAAGAACGUGUUUUUAUCGCCGUCGUUGUUGUUGAUGAUGGAGAAGAUGAAGUAUCCGAUUGGACCAGAGCACUACACGCCGUAUGAGGAGGUUGGGCAAGGCGUAAGCGCUUCCGUACAUCGUGCGCUCUGUAAGCCCGUGGAUGCGAUCGUCGCCAUCAAAAUCCUCGAUUUCGAACGCGACAAUUGCGAUCUGAACAACAUUUCUCGUGAAGCGCAGACGAUGAUCCUGGUCGACCAUCCUAAUGUCCUCAAAUCUCACUGUUCCUUUGUUAGUGAUCAUAAUCUGUGGGUUGUCAUGCCAUUCAUGUCUGGGGGUUCUUGUCUUCAUAUUUUGAAGGCAGCAUACCCCGAUGGUUUUGAGGAAGUUGUUAUAGCCACCAUAUUACGUGAGAUUUUGAAAGGUUUAGAGUAUCUUCACCAUCAUGGCCACAUUCAUCGAGAUGUCAAAGCUGGGAAUAUUCUCAUUGAUUCACGUGGUGCAAUCAAGCUCGGAGAUUUUGGGGUUUCUGCUUGCCUUUUUGAUUCAGGUGAUAGGCAGCGCAUGAGAAACACAUUUGUGGGAACACCUUGCUGGAUGGCACCAGAGGUUAUGGAGCAGUUACAUGGUUAUGAUUUCAAGGCUGAUAUCUGGUCUUUUGGUAUAACUGCAUUGGAGCUUGCCCAUGGCCAUGCUCCUUUCUCAAAGUAUCCUCCAAUGAAGGUACUGCUCAUGACAUUGCAAAAUGCACCUCCUGGCCUUGAUUAUGAAAGGGAUAGGAAGUUUUCAAAGUCUUUUAAGCAGAUGAUUGCUAGUUGCUUGGUAAAGGAUCCUUCAAAACGGCCUUCUGCAAAGAAGUUGUUGAAGCAUUCCUUCUUCAAGCAAGCUCGGUCAAAUGAUUAUAUUGCACGAACACUUCUCGAGGGGCUGCCUGCUCUUGGUGAUCGCAUCAAGGAAUUAAAGAGAAAGGAAGAGUAUAUGCUUGCACAAAAGAAAAUGCCAGAUGGGCAGAAGGAGGAACUAUCACAGAAUGAAUAUAAAAGAGGAAUUAGUGGUUGGAACUUCAAUCUUGACGACAUGAAGGCUCAAGCUUCCCUGAUCCAGGAUGCUGAUGAACCUGUACCUGAUAACAUUCUGAUGGGGACUUCCAAUUCUCUGUCUUCUCUUGAUGCACAACAAAAGCAAUCACAAUGUCAUAACUUAGAUGCAGUUGCAGACACGGAAGACAAUGAUAUGAUUCAGAACCAACAAGCUACUCUUCCACUGGUUGACACAACUUUAUAUGGUGCCAAAGUUAGAAGUGACAAAUCCGAUGACGAUUCUAGCAUUGCUAGUUCUAGCCAUGAACCACAUCUUUCACGAAAUUCUUCACCUCGUCAUGAUGAUCGUACUGAAAACAAUUUGGGUGAAAAGCCUAAUGUUGAUAAACUGGAAGCUACGGCUAUGCAUAAAAGGCAAUGCUCAUCAGGCAGCAGUGGUUUAUCAGAAGUUACUGAUCCACUUGUUAAAGGAGAGAGCGAUAAAUUUCCAAGUCAGCCCCAAAGUAAUUUGAAAUGCAAUGCAGCAGUAGUUCCACAACUAGCAGAUGAUACACUUGCUGAGGUUCCUCCUAAAGCAUCUAAAUCACCAGCAAAUAAUGAUGAACUUGAUGAGAAAGCAAAGGUGCCAGUUGUACAGCAGAAAGGACGUUUCAAAGUCACAUCCGAGAAUGUUGACUUAGAGAAGGUGGCCCCGGCUCCUAUACUGCAAAAGAGUCACAGCUUGCAGGUUCGUAGUUCUGAGGUGAUUAGCAUGAGUCCUGCAAGUCCUCUACCAUCAGCUCUUCCAUCACCCUUACCAUCACCUCUAACAUCACCUUCUGAUGCUACCCCAUCAGCUAUUUGUGGCUAUUUUCUUUUCCCAUUGUUAAACGCUGUUUUGCAGACAAAUAUUAUUCAAAGGGCGAGUAUUUUAAGUUUAAUGAAGCAAGCUGCUGAUUUCGCAGCCAACCGUGCAGCUGACGGAGGAUCCUCCCAGGCUACUAAUAUGACAGAGAAGCGUCAAGCAGCUCUUGAGAGGGAAGCCGAGUUACUUAAUGAAAUUAUUGAGUUGCAGAGGAGGCUCAUGUCUGCCCAAGAUGAGCUCCAAAAGUUAAAAGUAGAUACUGCUUAACACUCAGGUUAUACGUUGGUCCAACAUUUUGAAAAUCCCAUGUUUUCGUUAUGGUUCCUUGAUUCCAACAUACCAGUUUCAGGUGUGAUUCCAUUAUCCAACCGGUGCUCGGACGAUGUAGGCGAAUUCUUCAAAUGCAACAAUACUGACAAUUUGUAACGAAAAAAAAGGACUGACACAAGAUAAGGGGCUAAUUUUACUUGUUAAGGAGGGACAAAUACUCCCAGCAUCACUAUCCUAAAGAGAUAUCCCUCUAGUAUUAUUGGCCAUUUGUUCCAGUUUUAGCCUCAUUUUUUCAAUCAGGCCACAAACAUUUCGUAGUUGGGAAAAGGGUGAGACACACUGAGACCACUAUAUAAAGCAUCAACACCUCAAAUUAGGUCACCAAUUAAUAUACUGCAACCAGUAAAAGACUGCUAGAAACCCAAUGGCUACAAACAAGGAUAGUAAGGAAAUGGAGUCAGGCUAUGGGCAAGGCUCUGGCUCUGGUUUUGGAUCACUUAUUACUGCUGCAGUCUCCACUGUUGAAUCGGCUGCCGGUUCGGUUGUGAGUACUGUUACUGGAUCAGAAUCUGGAAGUACCAGGCAAUCGGUGUCUGAUUCGGGUUAUGGGAUUGGUUCUGGAUAUGGGUUUAGCCAGGCUAGUGAAGUCUCCGGUACGGGUUCUGGUACUGUGUCAAAUAGUACUGGUACAAAGUCCUCUACUUGAGCAAUCAGCACUACUAGUACUAGACCUAAAUAAAUAUAACAUUAUGUUAUGCAUGCUAUGAUAUAUGUGUAUAUGAAUGAGUACCAAGACUG